GAUGAACGCUAGCGGCAGGCUUAACACAUGCAAGUCGAGGGGCAGCGCGAUGUAGCAAUACAUUGGCGGCGACCGGCGCACGGGUGCGUAACACGUAUGGAACUUACCCUUUACUGGGAGAUAGCCCGGAGAAAUCCGGAUUAAUAUCCCAUAAUAAACGAAGUGGCAUCACUUUGUUUGAAAGCUCCGGCGGUAAAGGAUGGCCAUGCGCACGAUUAGCUAGUAGGUGAGGUAACGGCUCACCUAGGCUACGAUCGUUAGGGGCCUGAGAGGGUUAUCCCCCACACUGGUACUGAGACACGGACCAGACUCCUACGGGAGGCAGCAGUGAGGAAUAUUGCGCAAUGGAGGCAACUCUGACGCAGCCAUGCCGCGUGCAGGAAGAAGGCGCUACGCGUUGUAAACUGCUUUUAACCGGGAAGAAACCCUCCGACGUGUCGGAGGUUGACGGUACCGGAGGAAUAAGCACCGGCUAACUUCGUGCCAGCAGCCGCGGUUAAUGU
rnacentral:rRNA from 1 species